rnacentral:rRNA from 1 species
UACGUAGGGUGCAAGCGUUAUCCGGAAUUAUUGGGCGUAAAGAAUGCGUAGGCGGUUGGAAAAGUUGCCCGUUAAAUCUUCAGGCUCAACUUGAAGCAUGCAGGCAAAACUUUCCAACUCGAGGAUAGCAGGGGCAAGUGGAAUUCCCGGUGUAGGAGUGAAAUCCGUUGAUAUCGGGAGGAACACCAAUGGCGAAGGCAGCUUGCUAGGUUAUCUCUGACGCUGAGGCAUGAAAGCGUGGGUAGCGAACGGG